GGGAGAAAAAAUUCCUUCACAAAUGUGUUGAUGGCUGGACAUUGCAUCAUCCUAGAAAACUUUGAAGCCAGUGAGGACAAAAAUGAAAAGUUAUAAGACUUUUAAGAAUGUGGAUUUUUGGGUUAUCUUUGGCGACCCCUAGAACGUAAACCGUGGCGUGCAGCAUCAUGAUUUGUACAACUUUUAAUGGCCAUGGGGUGUAGAUUGGCCUGAGCAAAUUUGGUGCCGGUGGAACGAAAGCUUUAGGAGGAGUUAGCCACAUUCCAAUGUGUGCGAAUCAACCAAAAAUGCGAAAUAGCCCUUUAACCGUACAUUUUGCAGACACGUGCGCAUUGACUUUUUCGUAGAUCUUAUUGAGAUACACGUGAUUAUCAAAUUUUGUUUCAAUAUGACAAAGCGUACAGGCGUGACACUCAACAAUGUGUAUUUUCACCUUAUAGGACAAGAAAAAAUGGCCUUUUUUCUCCUGCCAUGGGGGGGCACUCUUUUAGGGAGUAAAAAUUCCUUCGCACAUGUGUUGAUGGCUGGACAUUGCAUCAUCCUAGAAAACCUGGAGGCCAGUGAGGACAGAAAUAAAAAGUUAUAAGACUUGUAAGAAUGUGGAUUUUUGGGUUAUCUUUGGCGCCCCCUACAACGUAAACCAUGGGGUGCAGCGUCAUGAUUUGUACAACUUUGAAUGGCCAUGGGGUGUAGAUUGGCCUGAGCAAAUUUGGUGCCGGUGGAACGAAAGCCUUCGGAGGAGUUAGCGAAAUUCCAAUGUGUGCGGAUCGGCAAAAAAUGCGAAAUAGCCCUUUAAACGUACAUUUGACAGAUACGCCCGCACUGACUUUUUUGUAGAUCUUAUUGAGAUACACGUGUGUGUAAAAUUUUGUGUCAUUUUGACAAAGCGUACAGGCGUGACACUCAAUCAUGUGAAUUUUUCACCUUAGGGGGCGCUAUGGAGCCAUUUUGCAUUUGAUUGUUUGGGUGACUUCAGAAUAUCGAAUUUUUCACCAGGCCCGGUCGUCCUGCCAAAUUUCAUGAGUUUUCACCAGUGGGAAGUGGGCCAUUUUCCAGUUCAAAGGGGCAGAAAAAUAAUAAGAAGAAGACUAGGACCCCGUUGGGGCACUGGCGGGCCCGAGCCGUGUCGCGUCCCCCCCCAACGUGCUGCCUCCCCGUCCCAUUUGUGUCCUCUGGCCAUCGCCCUCUCUGGUAACGCCCAUCACUGCAAAGACCCUUUUCCUUCAUCGGCGUUUGCUGUUCUUCCUGCCAGUGCGUGUUGCUUUCACUUACACUUGCCACAGCCAGCCUCGUGAGUGCCUAGCCUAUUGGAUAUCACUGUCACCUACACAGGACAGUCAUUACCUUUCUAUUAAUACUUUGUUUUUUAAUUUCACAUUAAUUUCCAUAUUGUAUAAACGACUGGAAAAAACUUGAGCCCCUGCCCCUGUAUAAUCAUGUGCAGGUCUCUGUUCUAGCUCUAAGGUGAAUCUUCACUGCUCAUGUUCUCCUCAGAAGCACUCACCUCACUCCCCUCAGGUUACUGUACACAUGCACCAACUGCCUGCUUCAGGUUUGGAUGGAGCUUCAUGGUUGUCUUUUGGAGAAAUGACCAGUCAAGUUGUGUUUGAAAUUUGAUUUUUUUCAGGGGCAAAAGGAGCCUCUGCAUUUUUGUCAAAUAUGUAAAUAGCAUGUUUUUGCAGGUGCUAAAAACCAGACUCUGAGUGUGUGUGUGUGUGUGUGUGUGUGUGCGUGUGUGUGUGUGUCUGUGUGUGUGUGUCUGUGUGUGCGUUCAAGUCACAUGACAUAUUUAACCGGAUGUAGCUGCAAGACGGAGCCUCGUUGACUCUCCGUUUCAACUUAUCUCAAAAGUGAGGACCUCAACCUAUAUACCAGUUUUUAAAUUGUGUUGAUAGGCCAAAUAAAACCAGAGUUAUGAUUUGAAUAGUUGCGAUUUGAAUAACUUUGAAUGGCCAUGGGGUGUAGAUUGGCCUGAGCAAAUGUGGUGCCGGUGGACAGAAAGCCUUCGGAGGAGUUAGCGAAAUUCCAAUGUGUGCGGAUCGGAAAAAAAUGCGGAAUAACCCUUUAACCGUACAUUUGACAGAUACGCGCGCAUUGACUUUUUCGUAGAGCUUAUUGAGUUACAUGUGUGUGUCAAUUUUUGUGUCAUUUUGACAAAGCGAAUAGGCGUGACACUCAACAAUGUGUAUUUUCACCUUAGGGGACAAGAAAAAAUGGACUUUUUUCUCCUGCCAUGGGGGGGCGCUCUUUUGGGGAGUAAAAAUUCCUUCACAAAUGUGUUGAUGGCUGGACAUUGCAUCAUCCUAGAAAACUUGGAGGCCAGUGAGGACAAAAAUAAAAAGUUAUAAGACUUUUAAAUAUGUGGAUUUUAGUGUUAUCUUUGGCGCCCCCUAGAACCUAAACCGUGGGGUGCAGCG
rnacentral:lncRNA from 1 species